UAGUCCACGCCCUAAACGAUGCUUACUCGGUGUUUGGGCUUUGAGCUUGAGCACCUAAGGGAAACCAAUAAGUAAGCCACCUGGGGAGUACGUUCGCAAGAAUGAAACUCAAAGGAAUUGACGGGGGGCCCGCACAAGCAGUGGAGCAUGUGGUUUAAUUCGAAGCAACGCGCAGAACCUUACCACCACUUGACAUCACCAUCGCGAUUUCCGGAGACGGAUUUCUUCAGUUCGGCUGGAUGGAUGACAGGUGCUGCAUGGCUGUCGUCAGCUCGUGUCGUGAGAUGUUGGGUUAAGUCCCGCAACGAGCGCAACCCUCGCCUUUAGUUGCCAGCAGUUCGGCUGGGCACUCUAGAGGAACCGCCGGUGAUAAGCCGGAGGAAGGUGGGGAUGACGUCAAGUCCUCAUGGCCCUUACGUGGUGGGCUACACACGUGCUACAAUGGUAGUGACAAUGGGUUAAUCCCAAAAAGCUAUCUCAGUUCGGAUUGUCGGCUGCAACUCGCCGG
rnacentral:rRNA from 1 species